rnacentral:rRNA from 1 species
GACGAACGCUGGCGGCGUGCUUAACACAUGCAAGUCGAACGGAAAGGCCCUGCUUUUGUGGGGUGCUCGAGUGGCGAACGGGUGAGUAACACGUGAGUAACCUGCCCUUGACUUUGGGAUAACUUCAGGAAACUGGGGCUAAUACCGGAUAUGAGCUCCUGCUGCAUGGUGGGGGUUGGAAAGUUUCGGCGGUUGGGGAUGGACUCGCGGCUUAUCAGCUUGUUGGUGGGGUAGUGGCUUACCAAGGCUUUGACGGGUAGCCGGCCUGAGAGGGUGACCGGCCACAUUGGGACUGAGAUACGGAGCAGACUCCUACGGGAGGCAGCAGUGGGAAAUAUUGCACAAUGGGCGGAAGCCUGAUACAGCAACGCCGCGUGCGGGAUGACGGCCUUCGGGUUGUAAACCGCUUUCGCCUGUGACGAAGCGUGAGUGACGGUAAUGGGUAAAGAAGCACCGGCUAACUACGUG